UACGGGGGGGGCAAGCGUUGUUCGGAAUUACUGGGCGUAAAGGGCUCGUAGGUGGCCAACUAAGUCAGACGUGAAAUCCCUCGGCUUAACCGGGGAACUGCGUCUGAUACUGGAUGGCUUGAGUUUGGGAGAGGGACGCGGAAUUCCAGGUGUAGCGGUGAAAUGCGUAGAUAUCUGGAGGAACCCCGGUGGCGAAGGCGGCGUCCUGGGCCAAUACUGACACUGAGUGAGCGAAAGCCAGGGGAGCAAACGGG
rnacentral:rRNA from 1 species